UAAUGUUGAUUGUUAUCUAAAUUUCAGGUCAAGAACCAGGCCUUUUUGAUGUUGUAAUUAUUAAUGAUGAUUUGGAAGAAGCCUAUAGCAAAUUAAAGAGUGCUCUUAUUGCGGAAAUUGUGAAGGUCCAAGAUUCCAGGAAGGAGUAACAUAGCAUUAUCUUUUUUUACUACCUCAUUCCAUGGAAGAAAUUUCCUUUGCUCGCAUUCCUUUUUAACUGUCCUUUCACAUGAUAGCCUGUCUGUAAUUCUAAGAGAUAUAUUGCAUUUGUUUUACAUUCUAUAUCAGUGAAACAAUUCUUUUAUUUUCUUGCUUUGAAGGCCACAUACUUUGGGCUUGUUUAUUAAAAAAAAAGAAAACUUUUGCCUUUUAAAAUUUAAAUUGUAACAAAUUGCACUCCCAAUUUAUUUAGAUGAAAUCCUGAUUGAUUAUUUAUGAGAUUACACAUAGUAUCUAGUAUCCAUUUCAGAAAACCUUGAAUCAUGUCCAGAUAAAGUGUAUUCAUUAUUUGUUAGAACUAUCUGUAUGUGUUUGUUUACCCUAAAAAUAAGUUUUAUUUGUGCAUACUGUAGUAGCUGACUUCCACUGCAGCCUAAACCCUAUCUGUAUAAAGUGAAUGUAUGUAGAGAGAUUUGUUUCAACAGGAGCUCUUCAGUUAGGGGCACACAUCUUUUUUAUUGUGAAAAGUAGUUAAAUUGAUGUUUUUUUUAAAGAAAGUUUAAUAUUUUUAUAGUUUUAUGUCAGAUGUUUCAUUAUUUUAUUAGGAAAGGUUAUUUGACUCUCUACGCAUGAUUAUUAAUUUCAGUAAAUAGUGAAACCAUCUAAAAAAUGUUUUCACACUUAAUUAUCAGGGAUGGGCAUCAGUAACAGCAUACUCAUUUUUUUUAAAAAAAUGUCCAGCAAAAGUAAAUCUUUAAGACCAAAGACAGUAGACUAUGAAUUCCAACACUAUUAUAUACAUUUUUUAAAAAAUACUACUCAUGUUGAACAGAGGGAUUCUGUUUGAAAAUAAAAUAAAAUGAAUGGAAAAUUGACCAUUUUUUCCAUGAUCAUUAUGAAAAAUAACAUACUCUUGUCAGGAAUCUAAUGAACCCUGAAUUUUAAAGAAUGAGGCUGCAAACACAACUGCAUAACAAUAACAACAGCAACAGGUUGUUUCUGAACCGAAUUGUCACACAAAACAUGUGGCUCAAACUGCUUUACAAGAUGUCUCAAAGAAAUAGUUACAAGCAAAGGAAAAACAAGUAAUGCACACUUACAUAAGAGAGACAUGUAAUGUAGCGAAGUAGAGUCCUUAAAUAUAGAAAUUUUUCUAAGUCUCUAAAUGCAAGUCUGAUGAUAAGGUCAAAUGACCAUGAGGAUAGUAAAAAUAAAAUAAUGCAAAUCAGACAUUUGAUGACAAGAGACAGACACCAAAAUGCCAAAUUCAAACUAAUCUUCUAGUAUCCCACUGCCCAUUUAAUUAAAUCUGUCACACCAGGCGAAUGAAUUCAUAUGAGAGCAUAUUAGCCUACACAAAAGAAACCACAAACACAAUAUAAAAACAUUUGUGACGCCUGUAUUUGACAAGAAAAUAUUAUUUACAUGGCCCCAGCCAUGCCUGUUUCUCAGGGGAUGGUAUGUUAGCUUGCCAUCCUGCUCAGUGUGUGUGUGGAGGCAAAAUAAACUUGGAUCCUCUCCCAGACAAGUAGCAGUGCAUUGAUUUGAACUUUUUAAUUAUGGCCUCAACUCUAAAUGUGGGCAUUUUUAGGGGUGUGGCAAUUUUUAUAGCCAUUCCCUUACUUAUGAAGGUGAGCUCAUUUUUCUUUCAUUUGAACCGUGUGUUCUCCUGCCUUUCUCAUGCUGAUGAAUGACUAAGGGAGUUUGGCCUCUGUGACUACUCAUAUGUAUACCCCAGUGAAACAGGACGUCUGAAUUACUGCUUGAAAGUUUCUACACGCUCUGUAAAAAGUCAGAUAUAAUGCUUCAGUUACACUUUGUUCACAAGAGUUUCUAGGGGUGCCAAUAAUCAUAUGGCAUAUGUGGUUUUGUUAAAAAUAAUGAUUUCAAUUAAAGGUUGGAUUUCUCUCAUUUUUUCAGUGUGAGAUUAAGGUAUCUCAGCAAAAGUGAUGUUUUGUUUACAACCCUUUUCACUCCUCUUCAUCAGGGGUGCCAAUAAUUGUAGAGGAGAGACCGUAGUUGCAUACCUUAAAUAUGCAUUUCCUCAUCUGAGGUCCAACUUAAAAAGCAGAUCCAUUUAGUUAGAGUCUUUCGAUGUUUGGAUUCCAUCCUCAGCCCUUCUGCAGGUUACUCUCCGGUGUACAGGCUCUGUGGUAGCACGGCAGCAUGCAAUCAAAGCUUAAACUGGUGAAUAUGACGGUUUCUUUUUUUUCCACAUUUCACCAGGUGUACAGUUGACUUUAUCAAUCCACAAUGCAGCCAUGAUAUUUGAAAUAACAUUUUUGCAACUAGAAAUAUGUCAUAGUAUAGAUAUACACCCACACCAUUUUUAGGAAUAAGAGAUUUUAAGAUGCAAGUGUAAUUACUGUAUCUCUAGAGCAACAUUUGCAUUCCCAGGAAGUUAAUUAAAUUGGAGAAUGACAAGAAUUACUGUUUUCUUGGCUUCAAGAGAAAACUGGUCAGACAUUCAUGGUUCAUUUUUUUAUUUUAUGGCAUGUAAUUUCUAAGUAAUGCUUGCAAUUUCCAUGUAACAAACUGUAUCGUAAAGUGGACAUUUUUUCUUUCACCUUUUGUAAAUGUUAGAGUAAGAAGUCACUGGAAGUAAACGGUUUUCUUUGUUGCUUUAUGGAGGAGCACAAAUGGAAGGUUCUAUAAAGCAGCGUGUAGACGUACUGUCAUUGGAAAUUUGGCAAAAAAAAAUUAAUGCGUAAAAACGAGUGUCUUUUAUGCCUUGGGGUGAGGCAGACAGGUAAGUCCUUAGAAAAAUCAGAGGCCAACAGGAAUUGUAGCGUUUAUUAUUGCGACUAACUGUGCUGCUGCUUCUGCUAGGCUGAUAUGAAAAAUACUCUUCUAUGCUGCCUUAAAGUCACUUAGUUAUGUAGGAGGCAUUCUUGUCGCUUGUCUCAAAGACCACUACCAGAGAGCUUUGACAACUGAAAUGUCAUUCCCAUCCUUUCUAAAAUAAAGCAGCAGACUGCAACCAUUCAGAAAAUUUUUAAUUUUUUCUUUCAAGUUUCAAAUAAACUUACGGUUGGUAAUCUUAAUGCAAAUAAUCCUUGAAAACGCCCAUCCCUGUUCUUGAGUAUUUUACAUUAAAAGCAGGCCAGUCUUUUCUUAGUUGAGGGUUCUAAAAUGUAUCCUUCAAGUCUUUUCUUUUUGUUUUUUUUUUUUUAACCUAACUAAAAUGGGUGUCAGGUGUGGUCUCCUGCCCACACCUCCGUAGACACAACUAUAGAAUUACAGCACUGGACAAGAAGAUAAGACACUACAUACAUCACGCAAAUGUAAUUUCACAUUCAUUCACUUCACAGCAAUUUAGAAAUGGCAGUUAAUCUGAUAGCAUGGCUUUGAAUGGAAGAAAGAAAGGUAGUGGUGGAAACCUGUUCACAGAUAGGGAAGACAGCACAAACUUCACAGAAAAAAAAACAUCGGCCUGCUAAUGAAACCAAGUAUCAAGUGCUGUUGCAUAGCAUAGGAUGCGUAUGUUUUUAUUGAAAAAGACAAUUUUGUUUGUUCUAACCUUGCAGUUGGGAGUUAACAUUAUACAUUUUGAAGUGAGCUAAAUUAAAUUGCACAGAUAUUGCAGAUGUUGGAUUAUAUUAAGAUAGAACUGUCAAGGAAGUAUGAAUUAUUGGUUUUACUUCUCAGGAAAUAGAAUAUACUAAUAACACUCCUUUUUCAGUCUCUGAAUGCCAUAUUGUAACAUGUAUGUGUUGUAUCCUGUUUUAUGCUGCUUAAAAAUUUGUUUGAUGUACUUUUUGUGAAAACAAAACUGUUAAUAAGUGGGUAUGUCUAGCAGAACAGUUUGAAAUAGUGCACAAUAAAAUAACUUCUACAUUAAUACUA